CCCAGACAGCCAGGAUGUUGGCUUAGAAGCAGCCAUCAUUUAAAGAAAGCGUAAUAGCUCACUGGUCGAGUCGGCCUGCGCGGAAGAUGUAACGGGGCUAAACCAUGCACCGAAGCUGCGGCAGCGACACUGUGUGUUGUUGGGUAGGGGAGCGUUCUGUAAGCCUGCGAAGGUGGCCUGUGAGGGUUGCUGGAGGUAUCAGAAGUGCGAAUGCUGACAUAAGUAACGAUAAAGCGGGUGAAAAGCCCGCUCGCCGGAAGACCAAGGGUUCCUGUCCAACGUUAAUCGGGGCAGGGUGAGUCGACCCCUAAGGC
rnacentral:rRNA from 1 species